rnacentral:misc_RNA from 1 species
UUCACCACCCACUGCUCAAUUCAGUGAUUAACUCGCUCACUAGUCCCUAAAACCCGAGAAAUCAAACUCAGUUUGAUUGCUUACCAAAUGGAGAGACUUGCAAAAAUAAAAUGGAAGUAUUAUUUAGCUGUAAACCUAAUACAGCAAGAUAACAAGUGUUCCAAAUGCCUUAAACCUCAACUUUCCCUGUAGUUUUCCCCCAUUUUCUCAGCAACCAAACAGAGAACCACUAACAUAGUGGAAUACCAAGGCAAAUUUCAACUCU